rnacentral:lncRNA from 1 species
UAUGUAACAUUGUGCAUUUAUUUACAAAGAGGUUAGAGAAACACACAGAAUCUGGCCCCCCAUGCACCGGGGAGUCACCAUUGUCAUAAUAAAUACAGUAAUUUUUUAAUCAAAAAAACAAAUUAAAAAAACCCACUGGAUUGGAACAGCUGAGGGUCAUUCAGCUUCCCCCACUCCCCGUGGGGAGAGGCACGAGAUUGAAACCAUCUUCCUUCCUCUCUCUAACCUCCCAAUCCUCCAUGACUGUCCAGGGAUGGAGCAGAAAGAGUCCUUUCCAGGUGUUGGCAACUCCUACUUGACCCUCAAAGCCCCGAAGACAGUGCCAUUUCCUCUUUCAGGGCACUCUGUAGGCAAAACCUGAGUCAGACGGUCUCUGACUCGGGGGCCCCCAGGGGAUAUCCUAAGGGUCCAGGGACAUGGAGGGGGCACUUUGUGAAUGAGAAGGGUGCCCUAUCUGGGCAAGGAAAAGAGGAAUGAGAAGGCUAUGUGAGAGAAGUGGAGAGAGAACAGACUAAGCUUCUAAAAUUAAAACGGGGUAGAGGAGGGGAGACCCGAAUGGAACGGAAUUACUGCAUUUGCAUACAUGGACACCCAUUGUACAGAUGGGGAGAGUGUGGCCCACAGAGGGGCGCCUUCUGGUUCAAGGCUUUGAAAACCAGCUGUACUGGGACAAUCUGGGCGCCUCCCAGUGGGAGGAGAGGGGCGGCCUCUCCAGGACUGCUAUGGACGGCGGGCAGUGAGUGAGGAGGGUCUUUGGAAGCAGAGAAAACGGUGGUCUUUGGAAGGUGGGUGUGGAGGAGGUUGGAGGAUGAGAAGUGUGGGGGUGCGGAGGCCAUGGAGGUGAAGUUCAAGCCCAUCCCGCCCCAACUCACACAGUCGUCAUGACCUUUAGAGAACCCGACCGAAAACGAAGGAUCUUUUUCUUCAGCGCGUGCGAUGCCUUGAUUUUCACGAAGACCUUGGCGGGACCCGCGGGCGUCCCACCACCCGCCGCACCCCCUGGCCCCGACGGCGAGGCUCCUGCGGCCGCCACCAGCUGCUGCGGCCACACGAGGCCUCCGCUGCCGUCGGAGUCGCUGGAGGCAGAGCUGAAGGCGGGCGACUCGCCCUCGCUGGCGCUCGACUCGCUCUCGCCAUAGCCUCCCGGUGCGCAUCCAGACGGCAUCCGACGGCCGAGCGGCACGGGUCGCCCGGCCGCCGAGCACUCGGAGUCGCUGCCUGCGCAGCCGUACAGCAGCCGACGCGGGGGCGCGGACGGUGAGGGCGCGGGGCCGCGCGGCGCGGGCACGCGGGCUCGGGGACGGCGGACAUCGGGCGCGUCGAUCUCAGCUGUGG